rnacentral:rRNA from 1 species
AUCAGCAGCCAUAUCACUCUGUAACUCACAACUGGCAACCCACUGAAGCUCAGCAGCCUUGUCAGUACCUGGAUGGGAGACCUCCUGGGAAAAACUAAGGCUGCUGCUG